AGAGCUCAACGUUCCCUAAGUGAGUGGCCUUUGACAGCAGUGCCAGGCAGCCCAGUGGGUGCAGGGCACACCACAGAUGGAGGAAGGGCCAGGCAUGCUUCCCAGACAGCCUCUGCCAGUCCAGGCAGGGGCUCCAGGGUGGCUGCGGGAAGGCAGCUUAGGCGGUGCCCGGCCCAAGGUGAGUUGGCAUCAUGCUCCACUUCCCGUUUGAACGUGUGGUCCCGUUUGAACCUUCUGGAAAGGCUUGGCAGGGAGGACACUCAUUUUGUAGACUGGGAAGGAACUGAAGAGCUGGCUUCCGGCGACCAGCGAUGGGCCCCAGAUCCCUGUGGCCAGGAAGGCCCCCAUUGCUGUUCUCUGUAGCUCAGGCUGGACAUUUGCUGGUGAGAACUGGCCGGACUCCCAGGACCCAGCCGCCAGAGACCUCUGUUCCUCACGCUCAGCCCCCUAGCUCCAACUGGGGCCCCUUUGCUUUACAGGAUGUAGGCUUGGAGUUAGAGGGGGCAGUUCUGGCGGUUUAUCUCUCACUCACAGAAACUCGGCUGUGAGAGGCCAGAGCUGGACUUGGGGGGCAGAGCCUGUAGAGGUCAAUGUGUCCUUAUUGGGUGUGCACACGUGUGAGUCUGUGUGCACACACAUGUAUACAUGUGUAUGCGUGUGUGUGUGUGUGUGUGCGCGCGUGUGGCAGUCAGAGAAGGCUGGGCAGACACUGUUAUUUCAGAAAAGAUGUGGAGGCCUUUCUGAAGGCAUCCACUGAGAGGCAGGGGCCAGGAUCUCUGUGCCCAGGCGCUGGGCGUGGCCCCUGAGAAGUGCUCUCUCCCCUAAUCCUUCAAAGCAGGAGGUAUUUGCUUCACUUUCUAAGGCAGGAUCUGCGGCUCUGAGAGGUUGCACAACUUGCCCGAGGUCACUCAGCUAGUAGAAGGCAGGACUGGCCUCCGGUCCAGGGUGACUGUGAGGAUGUCAGGGGACCCUGCAGGCCUGUGCGCCCCAGCUUAGGGCUACAGGUCCCACCUAAGGCUUCUUGAUGGAGGUUGGAGGGGCGAGCUGGAGGGAGGUGCUGCUGGGGGUCCACCGGUCCCCUUCCUGGGGGAUGAAGCCGGUUUCCCGCGCUGACCCCCUUGC
rnacentral:lncRNA from 10 species